AGAGUUUGAUCCCGGCUCAGAAUCAACGCUGGCGGCGCGCUUAACACAUGCAAGUCGCACGAGAAAGCAUCCUUCGGGGUGUGAGUACAGUGGCGCACGGGUGAGUAACACGUGGGUUACCUGCCCUCCGGUGGGGAAUAACUCCGCGAAAGUGGAGCUAAUACCGCAUACGACCUUUGGGUGAAGGUCCUAGGAUGCCGGAGGAGGGGCCCGCGGCCGAUUAGCUUGUUGGUGAGGUAAUGGCUCACCAAGGCUGCAAUCGGUAGCCGGCCUGAGAGGGCACACGGCCACACUGGCACUGAGACACGGGCCAGACUCCUACGGGAGGCAGCAGUGGGGAAUCUUGCACAAUGGGGGAAACCCUGAUGCAGCGACGCCGCGUGAGCGAUGAAGUCCUUCGGGGCGUAAAGCUCUCUCAGUGGAAACGAUAAUGACGGUACCCAUAGAAGAAGCUGCGGCUAACUACGUGCCAGCAGCCGCGGUAAUACGUAGGCAGCGAGCGUUGUUCGGAGUUACUGGGCGUAAAGAGUGCGUAGGCGGUUCCGUAAGUCUGGUGUGAAAUCUCCUGGCUCAACUAGGAGGGUGCGCCGGAAACUGCGGAGCUUGAGCACGGGAGAGGAAAGCGGAAUUCCUGGUGUAGCGGUGAAAUGCGUAGAUAUCAGGAGGAACACCGGUGGUGUAGACGGCUUUCUGGACCGUUGCUGACGCUGAGGCACGAAAGCGUGGGGAGCAAACAGGAUUAGAUACCCUGGUAGUCCACGCCCUAAACGAUGCAUACUUGGUGUGGGCACUUCAGUGUGUCCGUGCCGGAGCUAACGCGUUAAGUAUGCCGCCUGGGGAGUACGGUCGCAAGGCUGAAACCCAAAGGAAUUGACGGGGGCCCGCACAAGCGGUGGAGCAUGUGGUUCAAUUCGACGCAACGCGAAGAACCUUACCUGGGCUUGAACUGUAGUGGAUAGUCCUUGGAAACAGGGAUUUUCCCUUCGGGGACUGCUAUAGAGGUGCUGCACGGCUGUCGUCAGCUCGUGUCGUGAGAUGUUGGGUUAAGUCCCGCAACGAGCGCAACCCUUGCCCUGUGUUGCCACUCCCUUCGGGGAAGCACUCUCAGGGGACCGCCAGCGACAAGCUGGAGGAAGGUGGGGACGACGUCAAGUCAUCGUGGCCUUUAUGUCCAGGGCUACACACGUGCUACAAUGGCCGGUACAAAGCGUAGCCAACCCGCGAGGGGGAGCCAAUCGCAAAAAACCGGUCUCAGUUCGGAUUGCAGGCUGCAACUCGCCUGCAUGAAGCUGGAAUCGCUAGUAAUGGCGUAUCAGAACGACGCCGUGAAUACGUUCCCGGGCCUUGUACACACCGCCCGUCACAUCACGAAAGUGGAUUGCACUAGAAGUCUGCAGGCUAACCUUCGGGAGGCAGCGGCCCAAGGUGUGAUCCAUGAUUGGGGUGAAGUCGUAACAAGGUA
rnacentral:rRNA from 1 species